rnacentral:misc_RNA from 1 species
GAUGAAGAACGUAGCGAAAUGCGAUAAGUAAUGUGAGUUGCAGAAUUCAGUGAAUCAUCGAAUCUUUGAACGCACAUUGCGCCCGCCAGUAUUCUGGCGGGCAUGCCUGUUCGAGCGUCAUUUCAACCAUCAAGCCCCAGGCUUGUGUUGGGGACCUGCGGCUGCCGCAGGCCCUGAAAACCAGUGGCGGGCUCGCUGUCACACCGGGCGUAGUAGAUUUUAUCUCGCUCUGGGCGUGCUGCGGGUUCCGGCCGUUAAAAAACCCUUUUAACCCAAGGUUGACCUCGGAUCAGGUAGGAAUACCCGCUGAACUUAAGCAUAUCAAUAAGCGGAGGA